rnacentral:rRNA from 1 species
GGCUCUCUGCUAAGAAAAAAUAGAGAGUCGAACCUGCCCAGUGAAGAUUUUUAACGGCCGCGGUACUCUGACCGUGCAAAGGUAGCAUAAUCAUUUGCCUUAUAAUUGAAGGCUUGUAUGAAUGGUUUGACGAGAGCAAUACUGUCUCCUUUCUAAUUUAUAGAAUUUAACUUUUAGGUGAAGAGGCCUAAAUAAAAUUGAAGGACAAGAAGACCCUGUCGAGCUUAAAAGAAAAGUAGAAAAUAAACUAUAGCUACUCUAAAUGUAUUACUACUAGAGCUUUUUGGUUGGGGCGACUAAGGAACAAAAAAAGCUUCUUUAAAUAAAUAUACUUAUUAGUGAUGAUCCAGUAAAGCUGAUUAAAAGAAUUAGUUACCGCAGGGAUAACAGCAUAAUCUCUCUUAAGAGACCAAAUCGAAAGAGGGGGUUGUGACCUCGAUGUUGGACUAGAAUAUCCUAAAGAUGCAGAAGUCUUUAAGGGUUGGUCUGUUCGACCAUUAAAAUUCU